AUUGAACGCUGGCGGCAUGCCUUACACAUGCAAGUCGAACGGCAACGCGGGGCAACCUGGCGACGAGUGGCGAACGGGUGAGUAAUGUAUCGGAACGUGCCCAGUUGUGGGGGAUAACUGCUCGAAAGAGCAGCUAAUACCGCAUACGACCUGAGGGUGAAAGCGGGGGAUCGCAAGACCUCGCGCAAUUGGAGCGGCCGAUAUCAGAUUGGGUAGUUGGUGGGGUAAAGGCCUACCAAGCCUACGAUCUGUAGCUGGUCUGAGAGGACGACCAGCCACACUGGGACUGAGACACGGCCCAGACUCCUACGGGAGGCAGCAGUGGGGAAUUUUGGACAAUGGGGGAAACCCUGAUCCAGCCAUGCCGCGUGCGGGAAGAAGGCCUUCGGGUUGUAAACCGCUUUUGUCAGGGAAGAAAUCCUUUGAACUAAUACUUCGGAGGGAUGACGGUACCUGAAGAAUAAGCACCGGCUAACUACGUGCCAGCCGCCGCAGUAA
rnacentral:rRNA from 1 species